CAUAGCUGGGGAGAGAAAAACAAUUUUAUUAAACCUUCGUGUUUUCAAUGGCAAUUGCCCUUGGGAGGCCCUGUGGGGACCCUCAGCCCUCACGGAAACACCGCUAUAAGCCAUCAGCCUGCGUCCUCAACCCUCCAGAGUCCACAGGCCACACUACUGGCAGGGCAUGGUCACCCAGGCGGCACGGACACCAGCAGCCUGGAGAGCCUUCUGCACCUCCCAGGGUCCUAGGGACCAGGAAGAACCAAAUUCUUUUUUUUUUUUUUUUUGGCUGCAUCUGGGCAUCUAGAAGUUUCAGGGCCAGGACAACCUGAGCUGCUGCAGUGACAAUGCCAGCUCCUCAGCCGGCUGUGCCACGUGGGAACACCAAGAACCGAAUUCCCGACACCACGCUCCCUCAGCUCAACCUCUGGACAAAGGGGCCAGCUGCCCCCUGCCUGUGGCCACCUAGAGAUGCCCCCUUCAUGGCACUGACCAGUCAGGGAGUCCUGGGCCCACCGGGCGAUGACAUGCAAGUGGCCACAUGAGCUGGGCUGAGGACAGCGCCUCAGUCCCCACAGGCCCAGGUGGUUCUCGAGAACAGAGGUGCUCAGAGCAGUGCGCUUUUGCGUUUAAGUUGGUGGCCCAUCCAAAGCCCUGGGUUUUGUGAGAAAUGUUUGUCCUUGAGAAGUGGUGCUGGCAUCUGUGGCUCCAUCCAGGGCUGUCUGUCUUGUGGGUGAAGCUCUGGGGUCUCGGCAUGGGGGCGGGGUCUAUAUCUCCAGAGAAUUUGAAAACAAUUAAGCAGCAAAAGCUCGGCUUGCUUUUGUCGUCACCAUGAGCUGGUGGUUCUAAAUUCAAAAUCCUACGCUCGUGAUGAACGGUGACAGAAACCAUGGAGCACAGGCCGUCCCUCCAGCGCCACUCAGAAGUGGCCCUGGGGUUAAAACAGCGAACCUGGGGUGUGCUGCCGGCUCCGCCUUUCGUCAAAGGACCCGCCUGUCUGUGCUGGCGAGACCUGCUCGUCUACGGUUUUUCCCUUUCUUAGAGAUAUAACAUCUGCCUUCCUUCUCACCUGUAAACUUUAAUUUGCUCGUGUGACUCUAGAUACGAAGUUUAAUAAUAGAAGACUUCGUUUGCUUUACGUCGUGACUGCGACCGAGGACAACUUCGUCGGGGGGAACCGGAGCUUAAAACAACCCCCGGGGCGCUGAGUGUGCUGCUCUGUCCCCGGAGGCCACGGGGAUGGGCAGGGUGCCAAGAGGAGGUGGGAUCUGCUGCCGGGUCGAGUGGCUGCGCAGCGUCCUGGGACUUCCAGAUUCACGACGGAGUUUUGGUGGCAUCUGGACCAAGGGUGCAGCUCCCAGCAUCCUGCAGCCUGUCUGUUCCCAGCCCCGUGGAUGGCAGCUUCCCCACUCGCGGGGCCGGAGGACCCUGAAGUUUCCGCUCUCAGCCUGGUUGGGACCAGAAGGAUGCUGGUGCGAAGCCAGCAGAGCCUGCCCUGCCUGCGGGGAGUCCCACCCCACGUCAGGGCCAGGCUCUGGGGGCAGAGGCCCAUCUGUCAAGGCCAUCGUCACGUGGAUCCUGGUGGCAGAGACGCCUUCAAACGCAGGCGUGCCUUCACAGCUCCACCAGCCGCCCAGCAGCACGAGCUGGGUUUGGGAGGCGGCAAGGGCCCGGGUCUGCAGCAGAAGCGGUCGGGGCGGGUACCGGUUAGCAAGGCUGGUGGGCCCGUGCCUGUUUCCAGUAAUGGCUGUCUUCUAGGAUCAAAAGCGGUGGGUAUGUAUACUUGAAAGUAAAGCAGAGGGAAAAAAAAUCAAGGCUCCUCCAGACAGGAGCAUCCUGGCCACCAUUUCUUGGUGCAAACACCUGACACAGGUCCCAGCUGGCCAGCACCCCUCCCUCUGUCACAUGCCCCCUUCCUCUCCAGCGCCAUCAGGGUGUCUCCUGGGCUAGGCCCGGAGCUACCACCUGCUCAUGGCUAGAUUGGCGCUGGCCCCCUUCCCACUCCCGGUGCUGCUCCCGGCGGCCUGAACACCCCCACCUGGGGUCUCCUCUAUCCCAGGUGGCCCCCUGCCUCCAACUGGAGAUGCCUUCUCAUCCUUAUCUGGGCUCAUCCCCGGGGCGGGGGGGAGCAUGGCCUUCAAACCAUCUAGCCUGAUGACCAUCAAAUCUGCCUCCCCAGUCCUGGACGCCCACGCUGAGCCAGCCAGCGUCUGCCCCUGGAUGUCUGGCGGGGCACCUGCACUAAGCUGGUCCAGGUCGCCUUCCACGUCCCCACAUCAUCUCCUACAAUCUUCCUCAAGCCGACAACUGGUGUCACUCGAGACGGGAGCUUUGCUGUGGCCCCAGUGCUCCUGCACGAACAUCACCCAAGACGGUCAGCUCCCUGAGCCGGACAGAGCCCAAUGUCUCCUCCGCUCCCAACCAGGGUGGCCUGGACCCGGCCCACGGGUGCCUGGGUCACUGCCGCAGGCCUGCUGCCCCUCUGCCUCUGCAGCGCCCUCUCCUCUGCCCUGCUUUCAGAGGGCACCUGGGCGAGCUUCAAAUGUAGGCGGCCACACCCUGAACUCCGCAGUCCCCUGAGACCCGACCCUCUUGCUCCCUAUUCUCAUCCUGGGCCCCCGACACCUCCCGCCGCGCCCAGGCCUCACCUCCCGCCACGCUUUCUUGCUCAACCUCGUCUGUUUAUGGGCAGUGUCUCCAACUAAGAAAGCAGCCCAGGUUGGUCCCCAGCACUGGUGGGUUGUCGUCACUGCUCCUGAGUGAGGGGGUGCCCUGUGAGGGGGUGGUGUCUCCUGAGCACAGGCCCUCAGGGACCAUCCCACCUCUCUGGGUCCCUGCCUGUGAUUCUGAGACGAGAUCAGAAGCCAGCACAGAGCUCAGGCGGAGGUGAGCUGCUCCAGGAGGGCUGAAAGGACCCGGCUGCCGCAGGCGAGCACGGGGCCAAGCACUGUGACCCGCCCCAUCCCCAUGCUUCCUCCAGGUGGAGCCAGGGCCCAGGAGGAUGUGCUGGACCCCCUCUCAGCUGCGCUCCUGGGAGCCUGGCCCAGGCUGGGGUGGCGGACACGUUGGCGUCAGAGGGAGAGCCAACCCCACUCCUUAUCCACGAGAGACCAGCUUGGCCGCUUGUCUGCUGAGACGGCCUUGGGGCCACCUGGGUUUGACAGGCCGUGGGGCCCCCGAGCAGUCCAUCCAGUGGCUGAUGGAUGAAGAUGGCUCUGUUUGGGCUGACUUGUGUCCCCUCCAAGGUCGUAUGUUGAGUUUCUACACUGUAGUCCUUCAGAAUGUGAGCUGAUUUCGCGGUAGGGUCCUGGAAGACGUGGUCGGUAAGGGUGAGGUCCUGCUGGAGUCAGGUGGACCCUGACCUGGUGAUGGCAGUCUCGUGGGAAGGUGAUGUGGGGGUCCCAGGGGGAGGCAGUCUCAGGGAGGAAGGAGGCUGCCUGCAGGGGCCUUCAGAGGGACAGCCUGACACCAUGUCUCUGGUCUCCGGAUGCAGCAGCCUAGACCGAGGUCCUAUCCCAGCUGCCCAGAGACGCACAGUGGGCACUGGAUCAGCUCGCAUGCCAGGUGGACAGGUGGCUGCAUAAGCUGAGGCUGGUCUGCAUGCUCAGAAGGUGAUUCGUAGUUUCAUCAUCGUGUUUCAUCAGCUCCUGGGGCUUCAGAGACCUUCAUGGACGUCGUAAGGUACUGGCCAAGGGAUCCACCUCUUGCCACAGGAAACUGGGCCGUGCUGGCCCUUUGCAGCCGCCUGGACCCUGCCGAGGACAGAAUCUGGCCAUCUUCGCCCACACGGGGCUUGGGUCAAGCUCAGGGAGAAGGCGGGCAUGUGGUGGGCGGAGGGCCGGCCAGGACAGCUCUGGGCCGGCAGGCCUGGGGCCUCUGCCCAGCGGAACACAUCUGGUCCUCGAGUCCCGUGGGAGGUGGGGAGCCGGACCUUCCCACGGCGGCUGUGGGGGCAGCAUUUUCUCUCCAGUUGAAAUAGAAACCAAGUGCCAGGAAGAGGGAGGCGGAACUGGGGGUGGGGGGUGGGAACGGCUUGAACUGAGGUUUCUGAACUUCAGAAGCAGCUGCUUUGAACACUGGUCCUUCUUCUUUCUCCUUUAAAUGUCUGUUUCUGAAGCCCUUACAGGGGGCUUUCUGGGCUCGCCAGGAGGGGCCACGUGGUGUCAGGAGUCGGUCCGCUCCCCGGGCUCUGGCUCCACAGCUGCCACCUCCCCCUGGUUCCCGGGAAGCAGUCGUCCUGGCGGUGUGGAUUGCACUGCAGCUGCAACCAUCUAGAACAUCGAAAGGACCUCCUUAAAAUAGUCGUGGUCACCAUGACUCAUCGGCUGCCUGCACGGAGGGCAGCUGAGGCACCAGGGAGGCCGCAGCCUCCCAGGAGCCCGGCCCCCACUUGCUGGGAGUGGCAUCGGCCUCCAAGCAAACACCGUGCCGUCCCUGCUGCCCAGAUCUCUCAUCUGGGGGGCGGGGGAGGCCGGGCCACUCUCCAGGGGGUGCCUCCAGGCAAUAAAUAUUUCAUAAGGGAGCAGACCUCGGCAGUAAAGAUUAAGGAGCUUCGCAUCCUCAGAGAGAAGAAAGAGCUGUUUGAUUCUGCGGGUCAGCUGUUGUGGCCCAGGCGUUGUCACACGGAAGAACAAGCUUCUUAGCUGAGGGCGGACAUGGAAAUCAUGGCUCCCGUAGACAUGACCUCUGAACAAAGGUGGCAAGCCCAGGUGGUCCAAGUCGGCCCUGGGUGUUGGUGGAUGGAGGUCUCCAUGGCGAUUCUUGGUGCUCCUGGGCUUGGAGAACUUGGAGAUCACGGCCUGGAAAGGCUAAGGUGACCAGCAGAUGUCCCAUGGAAUUGCAGGAUGUCAUUGGCAGCCUGGUCCCAUCAGGAAGUACUGUUAGCUUAGCUGAGACAUGCUGCUGGCUCCAGAGGAGCAGCAGUGACCAAACCCUGGAACUCCGCUGAGCAUCACCCCUGCAGAAGAUGGAGACAGGUCCCAGGUGCGGAGAGGCUGACCUGGCCUGGGACUACGGGAGGGUGACAGAAUGUGCACCAGCCGGGCCCCCACCCUCUCCUGCCCCACCCCCGCCCCUGCGUGUCUCCUGCUCCCUGAGCAGCCACGUGUCGUCUGCCCUGGAGCUGAGGCUGCUUCUCUUGGAAGCCGCAUUUCUCCCUGUGCACCUGCCUGGCGGACUGUUUCACAGACAAUUAACGUGCAGUCCGCAGCUGCAGCACCCACGGCCACGCGGGGCAGAGGGAGCUCACGCCCACCAGGGCCACCCGAACAGAUGGCCGCCCCAAAUGCCCGCUGCAAGUCCCCUUGUCCACAGCCUUCCAGCAAACGAUGUUUCGAGCCCAUGGGACAUUGUGCUUGGAAGCUCCAAGUCUCCUUGUCCAAGAUUAAGAGGUGAGGGCGUCGGGGGGUUUCUGAGCGGCUGCUCCGGAAGGAGGGCCUUAGUGACGCAUGGAGGACACAGUGGGUGGCAGAAGAGCACGUUCUCACCUUGUCCCUGUUCAGACACUACGUUUGCUGACAACCUGUGCGCCUGGCCUCCCUCCUGCAGCAGGGAGUGGCCAGAACCCCUGAGCUGGGCCCUGGUGGGACAGCUGCUGGCGGGAGCCUCCUUCCCGCCAGAGACAAAGGUGUGAGUGGGAGGCCGGACUGCCAGCCAGGGGCCUUGUCCUUUCAACUCCGGACCGAGCGAGCCUCCACUGCAGGCCGGGGCAAGGAGGAGCCCUCGGCUUAACUGUCCAGGCCUGGAGGCUGCCGGCAAAGCCUCCCGCAGAGGGGCUGGCGGGGCCGUGUCCGGGUGGGACAGCUUGGGCCUGCGUGCCAGGCGAUGGUUCCUGACGACCAGAGGCCGGCAAAGUUCCGUGGGUCCCACUUUCCUUGUGAAGGGAGGAGCCCCAGAGAGAGAGGGCCCAGCCCUUCACUCCAGCUGGCUCCCUGCAAAGCUGCCAUGCGGUGGUCGCUCCAGCACCGUGUUCCAGGCUGUGUCGGGCACGGUGGUGGUUUGUGGUUCGUCCUCAGGAUGGCAUCUGCUUCCCAGGUGGUGAACUGAGGUGCAGGGGGAUCUGCACCACAGGCAGGGGGCCAGGCCCAUCUCCUGUCCACGGCCCCGAGCCUUGCGUGCCGGGCACCCACCCUCCGAGCCCACCGUUCUGCAAACCUGCGUCCCCUCCAUUGUGCCCUGAGAACCUAGUCACUGCAUCUCGAGGUGGCUGGGCUGGUCAGGGAUCAACCUCGGGGCCCCAUGCAGACCCCCAGUGGUGCUUUCCUGGGGACUCAGCCUGCUGGUGUGGACCAGCCUCCAAGACACCGCGACUGCUCGCCAUGGCAGUGCCAGCAGUGCUGUGACCUGUGACCCAGCCUGUGAGUCUGAGCCUGCACUGGGAGCUUGGCGAGGGGCAGUGCCCCCACAGCCACUCGGAUCUUAGGCCACAUCUGCCAGGCUCCUUACGCAGGAGCUGGCGAACACACAGCCUUUGCGGUUCAGGUUCAGGGCAGGGGAGAGGGUGGGGCCGCAGCUGCUGGGGACCACAGCGCAGACAUCUGGGGCACUGCCACUGGCUGCCAGUGAGCGAGCCUUCCCCAGUGUCCUCCAGACCCAUCUCGUGGGGGCAGGCUGCUGUGCUGGAGACCAGGGUGUGGGGACGUGCAUGAGUGAGUGUGUGUGUGUAUCUGCAAGGAUCUGGUCAGGUAGGCUCAGCGUAGUGCCCAGGCUGAGCCUCUGGGCUGGAUGGCCCACCCCAGGCCUGCGGAAGGUCCUGCCCGGUCAUGCUGGGCGUGGGGCUGGGGGGAGCACAUGGGGAGACAGUGGUAUGGGGGCUGGGAGUCCCGCACCCAGGUUGCCAGCAGCUUUUCACAGACCCCGUGUGGGCCAGCUGUGGAGCCAGAGCCUGGGCCGGUCUGGGGCCCAGAGGCUGGGGUGGGGGCUCUGGUGAUGCCUGGUGGGGUGUCUGGGAAGCGUGGGUGCCCAGUCCCUCCUCCCUCGUCCCGUGGGCGAGGAAGCCAGGGGCUGCAGUGUGUCUCCGCCGGGCCAAUGCUGCAAACCUCAUUAUCUCAACCCCGUGGGGGUUGCUGGUGCCACGCGAAGGUCCCAAGUCUCCUCUGGCGACUCUGACCCCACGGAGGAGGGCGUGGAGCUGUCCCCAAGGGGCAGCCUCACACCAGAUCACGAUGUGGAAACGGCAGGGGGAAGCGACUCUGGGAGUGACACUGGAACCCGCAGUGGCUCAUCCUGUUUGCAAACCGUCCUUUACGAGUCAUCCCACAGAAGCCGAACGCUUGGGGCGAGGACCGAGUCAGUGAACUGCUGCUGCUGCGACAAUGACCACGCAUUUAGUGUCUUAAGCGACACAAAUUUAGUCGCAGUCCUCCCAGCUGAAAUCAAGGGGUCAGAGAGUGUCGGUUCCCUCUGGAGGCUCCGUGGGGCCUGUGUCGGUUCCCGGGCCUUUUCCUGCUCCUGGGGGCACCACGUUCCAUGGCUUGUGGCCUCUUUCCCCGUCUUUAGAGCCAGCAGCGUCCGGGCUCUCUGGUUCGCUCCCUCUCAGGUCAGCAUUAGCAACCUAAUUGGCCCGCAGGUUGCAGAGUUUGGGACGUCGCCAUCCUUGCAAGGGCCCUUCCUCUGCUCACUGUGGACCCCACGCCGCCAAGUGUGGAGCCACCGGGAUCUGCUCCCAGAAGGAGUGAGAAACCUCUGACCCUGAGCCCUGGUGCGUGCGGGGUGCCUCGCUUGCCGCGCCUGGCAGAGCUGCGCUCCAUCCAGGAGGCGGGAACACGCCGGGGGGACACUGUGCUGCCGGCGGAGUUUGGCCCCCACUGGCGGAAGUGGGGGAACUGCCGUGCAUGUGGAAGAAUCCACCCAGAACAGAGAGAGGGGCCGGCCAGACCCCUGCCGGGCUCCGGCCUCUGCCUGCGUGGGCUCCGAAGCCCAGGCCCCACGGGCGCCCCUGUCCUCGUCCCUCACGCUCCUUUCUGACCCACCUGCAGCAGCUUCGCGCUGAGGAUUAUGCCGUCCUAAAAAUGAAAACAUGCGAAGGGAGAGGACGCCCAAUGCGUCCUUGUGGUGGAGCAGCUUCGGGCUUAGGACAGCUGGUGCCGCGGCAUCUGUGGGCUCAGGUUCCGAGGCCGAGGCGCCCUGCAUGUGGGUGUGCAGCCGCGACUCCAUCAGGGCCUUAAAAGAGAGUCCAGACGCUUUGUGCUGGCCUGACCCCGCUGCUGCCUGGAGGAGCGUGUCUUCUGGCUGCCCUGCCCAGGAGGCACAUGUGCGCACUCCCGGCCCGGCAAGGGUGCUGUCUUGGCUCCCGCCUCUGGACUCCACUGAGGAAGAGGCGCCGGCGCUUUGCCCACCAGCUGCAGGGCAGUUUGGAGCGUCACGUGGUGAGCGGACGGACGUGAAGGAUGUUUUUACAAACUGUGCGUUACACAAGUGCCAGCUAUUAUUCUGGGCACAGCACCCUUUGUCUGGAACCGGCUUCCCCUGGGAGACUCCCGGUGCGUCCCAGAGCCUCGGCGGCAGCGUAGCACAGCCCUGGACCCUGGCCCCGCACCUCCUCCCCGGGCCGCCCCCUCCGGGGGCUGUGCCCACACCUGCUGUGCAUUCGGACGCCUCUCCUCCCACCGCAGCCCGGACGCUGGGUAAAGCCCGGUUGACACUGACCAGAACCCAGUGUGACUGAGUGACCCGGGGCCCACCAGCCACUGGAGUCUGUCAAUUUGGGGAAUUAAUCUGUGGAAGAAUGAGCCAGAGGCAGGGGUCAGGCGGUAGGAGGCCGGCCCGCUUCGAGCUUGGCUCUCCGCGGGGGGCUAAUGAGACCCACGCCGGCGACUCCCUGCCCUUCCCGGCCAGGCCAACGGUGGCCGCUCCUUGUGAGCUGUCCUCUCGUUGUGCCAGGAUGGGAAGCCUCUCUGUGCCCGACGGGAAAGCUCCUAGGUCUUCAGCAAAUCUGAGCCGUGGUGCUGGGAGUGCCACCAGCAGGAUGGUUCCCUGGCUUGGUUUUCCUUCUAGAAAAUCUCUGUCCAAACACAGAAGCUACUCCUGGAGGAGCAGUGGGAAUGGAGGGCCCCCUCCAAGUGUGGGGCUGAGGGCCUCUGCCCUGGAGUCCAGCCCGUGGGCCCACAUCCACACAGCCCACCCUAAAUGGCAUCACCUGGCCUGUGUACGUUGGUGUGGAUAUGACACCAGCGUACAGGGCCCAGGUCAGUGUAGACGAGGUGGAGGUGACAGCGGGACAGUGAGAUGGGGGAGCUGCUUGUGCCUCACCGGCUCUGAGCAAUGCCUGGGCCUGGCCCUGCCGGCCGAGCUGGUGUGGGGCCCACCCUAGGUACCUGCUCUGUGUCACUCCACUCGCCCCUCAUUGCUCAAGGUGGGCAGGGCUUGACGGGCGGGCCCUGGACCACCUGGGGGUGUAGAAACCGGGGUCUCUGUGGCUUGUCGUGGGACCCUAGGACAGUGUGACUUGCUCUAGCAGCAUCCGGCUGUGGCUUGCUGGUAGGACGCGCGUGUCCAGAGAGCCAAACUGAGGGAGAGGUGCACCUGCCUGGGGGAGGCUGGCGGCCGGCGGGCAGUGGGCAGUGAUGGAUGUGGCCGCUCUUCUGCCCCUGCAAGCAGACAGGCGUCUGAGAAACACAUGGCUCAGGCCCGGAGAUUGAUCAUUCAUCAGCCAAUUAGGAGCACGCCCUGAUGAGGCGGCGCCCAGGCCUGGACACUGCGCCUGCUGAUGAAAGAGCAGGUGACCGGGCAGCCGGCGCAAGCCCGCCCCUGCGGCUGCGGCGAGAGCAGCUCCAGACGGGGGCUCUGGGGACGCCAAGAACCAGGCUGGCGCAGGGCCUGAAGGGGGUCCUGGGCCGGGAGAGUCGUGUUCCAGUUAGCAGCACCCCCUGGAAGACUUCUAGGAUUCUGGGGUCCAGUCGUAAUCCUCUGAAACAGUUUCGGGGAAUCACAGGUUCUCACUGCCCUUGCUGUGGAGGCGAGGAGAACGAACGGAGUUUCACUUUGAAAACGGUCCUCGGCUUUUACUUCACACGCACAGCGCAGCAUCGGUCUACGCGGUGUCCAGAGCUGCACUGCCUCGUCGCAGCAUCGCCGUCAUCCGGGCGACCUUGAGCAAGUGCCUCAACCUUGCCCAGCCGAAGUCCCCUCUGUGACCUCCAUAUGCUUAGAGGUCGAUGUGUGAUUGUGUUGCAAACUCUAAAUCCAGAUACAAACACAGGCGAUUGCCAACAAUCCAUCGGACUUUUGAAAAAUGCCACCACUUUUUGCAGACUCUGCUCUCUCUUAAAAUCGGUCCGUGUGAAGCCUCUUUAAUUUUUUAAGCCAUCUCCCCUCCUCUCUGGGGGCUGAUGCUGCCCCUUCUGGGGCUCCAUGUGCCCGCUUUCCGGGGGCUCCAGGGGAGAACACACCUGCAGCUGAGCCUUUUCCAGCUUCUGGAGGCGCCUGCCUUCCUCGGCUGGCAGUGCCGUCCUGUGUCUCCGAGGCCGGCGGGGUGGACGGUCCCUGAGCUCCUCUACCGCCCCCUUUCCAGGUGACCCCCCGGGGUGCCCAGAGAGUCCCGGGCCGUCCGUGCUCCUCAGCAC